AUGGCGCCAAGCAGCACCAACCGCGGCCGCCGCCGCGUGCUCCUCCUACCGCUGCCCUACCAAGGCCACAUCAACCCCAUGCUGCGCCUCGCCGCCGCGCUGCACUCCCGCGGCCUCGCGGUCACCAUCCUCCACCCGGAGACCCGCGCGCCGGACCGCCGGAAGCUCCCGGCAGACUACCGCCUGGUCACCAUCCCAGACGGCAUAUCUCCGGAGCUCGCCGCGUCCGAGGACAUCGCGUCGUUCGUCUUCGCGCUGAACAAGAACUGCGCGGCGCCGUUCGGGGACUACCUGGCCGGCGCCCUUAGAAAGGAGGAGGAGGACGGCCGCGUCGCCUUCGUGGUCGCCGACGUGGACUGGUUCGCGCCGCUCUCCGUGGCCAGGGAGCUGGGCGUGGCCGCUCUGGCCCUCAUGACCAGCAGCGCCGCCAGGUUCCUGGUGUACCUGGCGUACCCAAGCCUAUCCCACAAGGGCUAUUUGCCCGUCCAAGAGUCGAAUUUCAACACCACAGUUGAGGAGCUUCCCCCCUUCGUUGUACGAGACUUGGAUUGCGUGAUGGACAUGGCUCGACACCUCGCGUACGCUGAUCUCCUCGCCCACAUUGUCGCCGGCGUGCGGCAAUCCUCCGGCCUAAUAAUCAACACGUCUGAAGACAUCGAGGGCAUGGAGAUCGAGAGAAUCCGCAGCGAGAUCACCCUCCCGGUGUUCGCCGUCGGCCCUCUGCACAUGAUGACGUCGUCUUCAUCCGUUCAGAGCAGCCUACUGACAGAAGAUCGCAGCUGUUUGGACUGGCUGGAUACACAACGGCCAAACUCUGUGCUCUACGUGAGCUUUGGGAGCCUGGUGGGCAUCGACACAGAUGAGUUCUUGGAGAUGGCCUGGGGCCUGGCCGACAGCCAGCGCCCGUUCCUGUGGGUGGUCCGGCCGGGGCUGGUGCACGGCUGCGAGUUCAGCGCGCUCCCCGAAGAGCUGCAAGAGAAGAUAGGUAGCAGAGGCAGGAUAGUCAGUUGGGCUCCGCAGCAGGAGGUGCUGAAGCAUCCGUCUGUGGUCGCGUUUCUCGCGCACUGCGGCUGGAACUCGACGACGGAGAGCAUAUCGGAAGGCGUGCCGAUGAUAUGCAGACCGUUGGCCAGCGAUCAGAUGGGCACUAGCAGGUAUGUGUGUGAUGUGUGGAAGGUGGGGGUUAGGGUGGAGGUGGAGAACCAGCUGAAGAGAGGGGACGUCCAGGCGGCCAUCACAAGACUGAUGGAAGGAAAGAAAGGUGAAGAGGUCAGAGAAAGAAUGAAAGAUCUGAGGCAUGUGAUGAGAAAGCGUACUGAUGAAGGUGGGACAUCUGAUGUUGCUUUGCAACGUUUAGUGGAUUUCAGUGUUUAA
rnacentral:rRNA from 1 species